GCACCCUUAGCUCAGUUGGUAGAGCACAGCAUUCACAUUGCUGGGGUCGCAGGUUCGAGCCCUGCAGGGUGCA
rnacentral:tRNA from 1 species